AAGAAGAAGAAGAAGAAGAAGAAGAAGAGUUAUUUCCCUUGGUGGCUGGCUGGCUGGGCUAAGUGACCUCGUACUUGGAAUCUCCCAGGUGGAAGAGGGGAAGACCACUAUCUUCCUGGGAAAACAUUCUGCUAGGAAAUUUCUUCCCGCCCCUUUGAGAAUAAGGGGUGAGGGUCUUACCUACCCUUUUGCCACAGUGAAGUUGUUGGGACUGAUUCCAUAUUUACUUAUAGCUGGUUUAAGAGACCAUAGGAUCAUUAGCCUCCCAAUUUCUUUUGUGUGUGUGUUUGUGUGUGGGGUGGCUUGGUUUUUGGAGACAGGAUUCUCUAUAUAACAGAGUCCUGGCUGUCCUCAAACUCACUUUGUUGGCCAAGCUGGCCUUGAACUCAGAGACCCAGUUGCCUCUGCCUCCUGAGUGCUGGGAUUACACCUGGCUCCAACAGUUUUCUUGAAUUUGAAUAGGAGCUUUAAUUUCCUAAAAGUCUUGUAACCAACCUAAGAGGAAGCCCUUCUGAGAGACACUUAAACCCCUUUGUCUAUCAAGCAAUUGAAACAAUGGAUCCCAAGGAACUGGUAUUUUUCCAGGAAUUUCGAGGUGGGAAGCAGGAAGGCGAAUCCUGGUGUUGGCCAGAGGAAAACUUGUUUCCGGGAAAGAGGUUUCACAUAUUUCUAAAGCCUGUUGUGUCAACCUUGCAGGUCAGACUGGAGCACAGGCCUUGUUGGGCCAGAUUAUCCCUUCCCAAUGGCCGUUUUGGUUUCUCUUUAAACCUAAAUCUCAUGUCAGUACCCCAAAGAUGAAUUUAGAGGGGGGCCUCCGAACUUCCUUUUCUCCCUGAUGUGACCCCAUUGAAUAAAUCUCCUUUCUCUGGUUUU